AGCUCCAAUAGCGUAUAUUAAAGUUGCUGCAGUUAAAAAGCUCGUAGUUGGAUAUCUGGCUUGAUACACCCAGCCCACCACAGUUAUGUGGUUGUGUGCCGGGUUGGAUCUGCCAUCCUUCUAGUUGUUAAAAUAAGACAUCGAAAGGUGAAUUAUUUUAGUACUAGAUCUUUUACUUUGAAAAAAUUAGAGUGUUUAAAGCAGGCUAUAUUUGCUAUGAAUAGAUUAGCAUGGAAUAAUAAUUUAGGACUUCUGUUCUAUUUUGUUGGUUUUCUGAAUAGAAGUAAUGAUAUAUAGGGAUAGUUGGGGGUGCUAGUAUUCAGUGGCCAGAGGUGAAAUUCUUGGAUUCCCUGAAGACUAACUUAUGCGAAAGCAUUCACCAAGGAUGUCUCUU
rnacentral:rRNA from 1 species